UAAUGUGGCCCAACUACCUAAAAGGCACAAGAUCCUAUCUGAUUUUGGAAGCUAAGCAAGAUAGGUCCUGGUUAAUACUUGGAUGGAAGACUGCCAACAAAUACCAAGCACUGUAAGGC
rnacentral:rRNA from 11 species